rnacentral:rRNA from 1 species
AACGAGAAAGGGGAGCAAUCCCUGAGUAAAGUGGCGACCGGGUGAGUAACACGUGACUAACCUACCUUCGAGUGGGGGAUAACUCCGGGAAACCGGGGCUAAUACCGCAUAACAUCUUUGGAUCGGAAGAACUGGAGAUCAAAGGAGCAAUUCGCUUGAAGAGGGAGUCGCGGCUGAUUAGCUUGUUGGCGGGGUAAUGGCCCACCAAGGCGAUGAUCGGUAUCCGGCCUGAGAGGGCGCACGGACACACUGGAACUGAAACACGGUCCAGACUCCUACGGGAGGCAGCAGUGGGGAAUUUUGCGCAAUGGGGGAAACCCUGACGCAGCAACGCCGCGUGGAGGAUGAAGUCCCUUGGGACGUAAACUCCUUUCGACCGGGACGAUAAUGACGGUACCGGUGGAAGAAGCCCCGGCUAACUUCGUGCCAGCAGCCGCGGUAAUACGAGGGGGGCAAGCGUUGUUCGGAAUUAUUGGGCGUAAAGGGCGCGUAGGCGGCGCGGUAAGUCACCAGUGAAAUCUCCGGGCUCAACUCGGAGCCUGCUGGCGAAACUGCCGUGCUGGAGUAUGGGAGGGGUGCGUGGAAUUCCCGGUGUAGCGGUGAAAUGCGUA